GGGGCCUUAGCUCAGUUGGUAGAGCGCUGCCUUUGCAAGGCAGAUGUCAGGGGUUCGAAUCCCCUAGGCUCCACAA
rnacentral:tRNA from 1 species